CGGAUGCUGUGACAAGGGGCGGGCGAGGGAGGGCUCCGCGUCAGGGGCAGACAGCUCCAGGUGCUGGAGGCUGCCGCGCGGAGAGGUCCGCCCAGCCAGGAUGUGCGUUGUCCUGAGAAUCGAAUUACCCGGAACCCCAGAGCUCACCCUCUCUGAAGGAGAGCAGGUGCCUCCUGAGAGCAGGGCUUCUCUACCUUGGGGCACUAUGAACAUUCUGAGUGGGUGCCCACUUUGUUCAUCUCUGCUCACUGGGGGAGCCAGGACACGGAUCCAGGUUUUCUGACUCCAGGUAGGCACCCAAAUCAAGACUCAGAUUUCCUCAUCUCAGAAGUUGUCCACUUCUUCUCCGACCUCCACGGUAACUCGGAACCACACCGUGGAGUUAUCCCUGUGUCCUCUUUCUCGGAAGUUCCACAUCCAACCCCUCAGCAGGUCUCAGCGGCACUCUCACCACCUCCUCUGCUCUGUUCCUGUUUCUCUUGGAUGGUCGAAUGUUUCCUAAGGAGUGUCUGCUGCUUCACGCUUGCCCCCUGGAGUGGCAUCUAAAAGGAUACCCUACAACUAACAGGCAUGAUGCCAUCAAGACAUCUUGAGCCUGGCUACCUCCCGUGGCCUGUAUUUUGUCCACAGGAAACUCGCGCAGUCUCACUACAGCAAAUUGAGGUGGUAUGGGGUGCCUGCUGCUGCCUCUCUCUUCACCUUUCCACAGAGGGCUGCCCCAGCCUGACUCCCACUUCCAGAGUUUCUCCAGCCAGGAGAAUCCUGAAAUCUCUGUAAAUAAGCAAUCCAGGAGCCAGAGAAUCAUGGGAUCUCAUAUAAACAAAUCAUCAAGGAAAAACACAGCCAGAGUCUCCAUUUGGUAAACCUCCGUGACUGGGGAUCCCCGGCCACCCAGAAAGCAGUAUUGCCUGCCAUGCAUGUCAUCACUGAUUUUUACUGCUGCAGCAGACUCCGUCAGACCUGCCUGCUGCUUCAGCGAAUUGUUCAGUGCACACCACCAGCUACCUGCUGUAAGCAUUCACACUCCUCUACCUGCCUGGCAGCAUUUCUCAGCUGAACACAGGCCAGGCCAGAAGUGCCAGGGAUUUAAUGCCCUUAGAAGUAGCUCUCUACCAAUGACAAAUGGAGCUGGUGGAUACAUUCUCAGCUUCCUCCCCUCUCAGGUGGAACAGCCCUGAGAUGUGCUCUAUGCAAUCUCCCACAAGUCCCCAGCAGGCUCAAGCUCCCAUUGUCCAACCCUGGUAACCUGCUCAUUGACACCCCUGUCUUGCCUUCCCUUCCUGGCCUCACUUUCUCACUCUCUUACUGUUGCCUCCUGAGAUCGCAUCCAAAAUAAAUGACCUGCACCCAGAU
rnacentral:lncRNA from 1 species